rnacentral:tRNA from 1 species
UAGCUUGGUGGUCAAAGCGUCUGCCUUGUAAGCGCUAGGUCGCGGGUUCGAUUCCCGC